GGGCCGCAGGGCAGGGGCUGGGCAGGCCAAGGGCGCCACUCUCCUGCCCAGGCCAGGGCACCCGAUCACUGCACCACACCCCUUGUGGCCGUCUGUCCAGCCAGGGCCCUGCUGCAGGUGCUUCCCGUGGGACUGUAGGGAGAACAAUCAAGACUUCUGCCUCCUUGGUCGAGCAGGGCUGCCUCCCCAUCUCAUCUACUGGCAAGGAGGCUGGGCACCUUCAGGGAGCUUCAGUUUGGGAAGAGGGAGGAGGUCUGAGGUGGAUGGUGGCGAUGGCUGCGCAGCAGUGAGAAUGGACUGAGUGCCACUGAUGUGUGUGCUCCAUGGCUCCGUGGCUCCGUGGCUCCGUGGCUCAGUGGCUCAAUGGCUAUAAUGGCUAGUUUUGUUACAUAUUUUCACCAUAAUAAAACAAAACAUGUCCAAGGUGCUACAAGGAGGGAGGAGCCCCUGGAGCACCCGCCUGCCAUCUCCCAUCUGCCAGGCAGACGGCGGGCCUAGAGAGGGCGGGAUGACACAAGAAAGGUUCUCCUUUGGAGACGGCGAGGUCAGGCAGGUGGGAGAGGGUUCACGGUGCUUGAGGUGCAGAGAGAGGAUGGUGGAAUGGAAAACGUAGGGUGACUUGUCGGGGACAGGCCCAGGGCCACAACUCGGGCAGGCCUAUUGCCCGAGUUUUGGGUCCCAUCCUGGCAGGCAGGGGAGAGAAUUCUGAAUUUUUUAAUGAAACGGAUAGUUGAGGGCUGGAAAAAAGAAAAAGAAAAGAAAAGAAGUCCCGGCUCGGUGGCUCAUACCUGUAAUCUCAGCACUUUGGGAGGCCGAGGUGGGUGGAUCACCAGAGGUCAGGAGUUCAAGACCAGCCUGACCAACAUGGUGAAACCGUGUCUCUACAAAAAAUACAAAACUAGCUGGGCGUAGUGGCGCAUGUCUGUAAUCCCAGCUACUCAGAGGCUGAGGCAGGAGAAUCACUUGGACCCAGGAGGCGGAGGUUGCGGUGAGCCGAAAUCGAGCCAUUGCACUCCAGCCUGGGCAACCAGAGUGAAACUCUGUCUCAAAAAAAAAAAAAGAAAGAAAAAGGUAUUGAAACUGGGUGCCAGAUAGCUGCAUGUCAGGGCCCUGAGGAGGAAGGGGUCAGAGUGGAGGGGGAGAAAGAGCAGGCUGGCCAGGUUGUGGGAGGCUUCCGGCGGGCGGCA
rnacentral:lncRNA from 10 species